UCUCUCUCUCUCUCUCUCUCUCUCUCUCUCUCUCUCUUUGACAGGUCUUGGUUCACCGCUGCUCUGUUGGCUGCUCCAAGUCCGGCUGACAGGUCCGGCUGCUCCUCAUCUCCGCCUCGCCAGCCGGCAGCGCAGCCCCCGCCGCCUCCUCCCCCACUCUCCCGUCAGCAUGGUCCACGGCUCCCGGAUCUGAAGCAGCCGCACCGUGCUGCCGCGGUGCACAGCAGCAGGUCGCAGCUAGCUAGGCAUCAGCGGCACCGGUCACCGGCGGCAGCGUACAUCACCGGCUGCAGCGUACAUCACCGCGCGCGGCAACGGACGCAGACAUGCAUUAGUUUGACGUCGAGACCGUUGUCGCGGAGCUUCUUGCUGGACGGAAGACCGGCACCGAACACGCUUCGAGGGUUUGCAUUGUGGAUGGCGUUGACGGUGGGCAUAUAUGCUGCGGUGGAGCUCAUUGGUUCAUGCUUGGUGUGAACUUGGAACUCAUGAUCCUUUAAUUUGUGAACCUCUGGUUGCAUAUGUAUGUAUGUUGUUGUGAACCUUCGUUGGAUAUGUAUGCACUGUGUGGACCUGAAACUUACGGUCCUUUCGUUUGUGAUCUUUUGUUGCAUACGUAUGCAUAUGUGGACUCUGCACUCAUGUACGGCUGGAUAUAUGUAUUACUUGAUAUAUGUUUGUUGGUCAUGGUCAUGUACUGCUGGAUACAUAUAUUUGUUGGAUAUAUGUGCUGCUGGAUAGAUGUACUACUAUAUAUAUGUUGUUGCUGCUCCCUGAAG
rnacentral:rRNA from 1 species